rnacentral:rRNA from 1 species
AUUGCACGCUGGCGGCAGGCCUAACACAUGCAAGUCGAACGAGGGGCGGACGGGUGAGUAAUGUCUGGGAAACUGCCCGAUGGAGGGGGAUAAAUACUGGAAACAGUAGCUAAUACCGCAUACCAUCGGAUGUGCACAGAUGGGAUUCGCUAGUAGGUGGGGUAAAGGCUCACCUAGUCGACGAUCCCUAGCUGGUCUGAGAGGAUGAACAGGCACACUGGAACUGAGACACGGUCCAGACUCAUACGGGAGGAAGAAGUGGGGAAUAUUGCACAAUGGGCGCAAGCCUGAUGCAGCGAUGCCGCGUGUAUGAAGAAGGCCUUCGGGUUGUAAAGUACGUUCAGCGAGGAGGCGUUACUCGCAGAAGAAGCACCGGCUAACUCCGGGCCAGCAGCCGCGGUAAUUC